rnacentral:tRNA from 1 species
GGGCGAUUAGUUUAGUGGUAAAACGAAGGACUCCAAAUCCUUUGACGGGAGUUCGAUUCUCUCAUCGCCCG